AUUGAACGCUGGCGGAAUGCUUUACACAUGCAAGUCGAACGGCAGCACGGACUUCGGUCUGGUGGCGAGUGGCGAACGGGUGAGUAAUGUAUCGGAACGUGCCCAGUCGUGGGGGAUAACGUAGUGAAAAUUACGCUAAUACCGCAUACGAUCUAUGGAUGAAAGCGGGGGAUCGCAAGACCCCGCGCGAUUGGAGCGGCCGAUAUCAGAUUAGGUAGUUGGUGGGGUAAAGGCCCACCAAGCCAACGAUCUGUAGCUGGUCUGAGAGGACGACCAGCCACACUGGAACUGAGCAACGGUCCAGACUCCUACGGGAGGCAGCAGUGGGGAAUUUUGGACAAUGGGCGAAAGCCUGAUCCAGCCAUUCCGCGUGCAGGAUGAAGGCCCUCGGGUUGUAAACUGCUUUUGUACAAAACGAAAAGGUUUCUACUAAUACUAGGAGCUCAUGACGGUACUGUAAGAAUAAGCACCGGCUAACUACGUGCCAGCAGCCGCCGUAA
rnacentral:rRNA from 1 species